GACGAACGCUGGCGGCGUGCUUAACACAUGCAAGUCGAGCGGGGGAAUACUGGCACUGGCUGUCUUGGCCUACUGCCGCAGGGAGCGAGGAGCUGUCAGCGGCAGGGGGGGAUUAAGGGGCAGCGAGUGCUGGUAUACUCUAGCGGCGGACGGGUGAGUAACGCGUGAACAAUCUAUCCCGGACAGGGGGAUAACAGCUGGAAACAGUUGCUAAUACCGCAUAAGACCACGGCAUCGCAUGGUGCAGGGGUAAAAGAACAAUCGGUUUGGGGUGAGUUCGCGUCCCAUUAGCUGGUUGGUGAGGUAAAGGCUCACCAAGGCAACGAUGGGUAGCCGACCUGAGAGGGUGAACGGCCACACUGGAACUGAGAUACGGUCCAGACUCCUACGGGAGCAGCAGUGGGGAAUAUUGGGCAAUGGGCGGAAGCCUGACCCAGCAACGCCGCGUGAGGGAAGAAGGUUUUCGGAUUGUAAACCUCUGUCCUUGGGGACGAAGGACGUGACC
rnacentral:rRNA from 1 species